rnacentral:rRNA from 1 species
CCAAUUAGGCUUCAGUAGGAUGACCUGCGGAGGAUCAUUACUGAGAGGGGGGCUUCGCGCCCCAGGGGUCUGGCCCCGCACCUUUCCACCCUUUGUUCACCGUUCACUCUUGCUUUGGCGGGCCCCGGAGGUCGUUCCGGCGCAGGUCCUUUCGUAGGGUUCGCGAGCGCCCGCCAGAGGACUAUCUAAAAAUCGUUUUCUCGAGUGGUCUGAGUUACAUAAAAUACAAUCAAAACUUUCAACAACGGAUCUCUUGGUUCUGGCAUCGAUGAAGAACGCAGCGAAAUGCGAUAAGUAAUGUGAAUUGCAGAAUUCAGUGAAUCAUCGAAUCUUUGAACGCACAUUGCGCCCUUUGGUAUUCCGAAGGGCAUGCCUGUUCGAGCGUCAUUAAACCCCUCAAGCUUUGCUUGGUACUGGGUGUUCCGUUCCCCGAAAAGCUUGGGGAGCGCGCCCGAAAAUCAGUGGCGGUCCGGGUUGACUACAAGCGCAGUAAAACUUGCCCGCUUCUGUAGUUUCCGCCUGUAGAUCGGCCAGCGAAUCCUUUCAAUCCACAAAUUGACCUCGGAUCAGGUAGGGAUACCCGCUGAACUUAAGCAUAUCAAUAAGGGGGGAGGAAA